rnacentral:other from 1 species
AUUUCCACUGCUGCUCUGAGAGGACCCAUCUUCCCUGGACUGGGAAUUCCUGGAGAGCUGCGUUUGUGAGCAGUUGGCAGGAAUUUCCUAAGUCCCAUCUCUUCAUUUUCAUUUGUGUUGCACUUUGGAACAUCCAGAAACC